AUUGAACGCUGGCGGCAGGCUUAACACAUGCAAGUCGAACGAGUGGCGGACGGGUGAGUAAUGCCUGGGAAUCUGCCUGAUGGAGGGGGAUAACUACGGGAAACUGUAGCUAAUACCGCAUACCAUAGGAUGAGCCCAAGUGGGAUUAGCUAGUUGGUGGGGUAAAGGCUCACCAAGCCGACGAUCCCUAGCUGGUCUGAGAGGAUGACCAGCCACACUGGGACUGAGACACGGCCCAGACUCCUACGGGAGGCAGCAGUGGGGAAUAUUGCGCAAUGGGGGCAAUCCUGAUGCAGCCAUGCCGCGUGAAUGAAGAAGGCCUUCGGGUUGUAAAGUUCUUUCGGUGGCGAGGCGUUACCUACAGAAGAAGCACCGGCUAACUCCGUGCCAGCAGCCGCGGUAAUAC
rnacentral:rRNA from 1 species